rnacentral:misc_RNA from 1 species
GAAAUGCGAUAAGUAAUGUGAAUUGCAGAAUUCAGUGAAUCAUCGAAUCUUUGAACACACCUUGCGCUCCUUGGUAUUCCUUGGAGCAUGCCUGUUUGAGUAUCAUGAAAUCUUCAAAGUAAAUCUUUUGUUAACUCAAUUGGUUUCUACUUUGGUAUUGGAGGUCUUUGCAGCUUCACACCUGCUCCUCUUUGUUCAUUAGCUGGAUCUCAGUGUUAUGCUUGGUUCCACUCGGCGUGAUAAGUUAUCUAUCGCUGAGGACACUGUAAAAGGUGGCCAAGGUAAAUGCAGAUGAACCGCUUCUAGUAGUCCAUUGACUUGGACAAUACUUUUAUGAUCUGAUCUCAAAUCAGGUAGGACUACCCGCUGAACUUAAGC